UGUUACACUAUGUAUAUAUGUGCAUCUAAUCUAUUUGUAUAAAUAUUCAGAAUUAUGUAUUUCAUUCAUGAAUUAAUGAAAUAUUUUUCCUUCUCUCUCUCUCUCUCUCUCUCUCUCUCUCUCUCUCUCUCUCUCUCUCUCUCUCUCUCUCUCUGCCUAACUGCAACAUGGUACCAGAGCAUAUCACUAUUAAUUUCUUGUUUUUCUUCU
rnacentral:lncRNA from 1 species